rnacentral:rRNA from 1 species
UACGAAGGGGGCUAGCGUUGCUCGGAAUCACUGGGCGUAAAGCGCACGUAGGCGGAUUGUUAAGUCAGGGGUGAAAUCCUGGAGCUCAACUCCAGAACUGCCUUUGAUACUGGCGAUCUCGAGUCCGGGAGAGGUGAGUGGAACUGCGAGUGUAGAGGUGAAAUUCGUAGAUAUUCGCAAGAACACCAGUGGCGAAGGCGGCUCACUGGCCCGGUACUGACGCUGAGGUGCGAAAACGUGGGGAGCAAACAGG